rnacentral:misc_RNA from 1 species
AAGGAUCAUUAACAGGGUCACUGGGCGCUCCGGCGUCCAACACCAACCCUUCGUUUCCCGCCCGUCCUUUGGCGUGAAGGGGGCUUGCCUGACGGUGGGGCCCCUGCCGAAAUCAACUCUGAACCACUUUGCAGCCUGAAGUAAAAAGCAAAUAGUUAAAACUUUCAACAACGGAUCUCUUGGUUCUG